GUGUAGACGCCGAGUAACAUGUAAGUUGUGCCAGAAGAAGCGUGUUUUAAAGAGGAUCAUUUCUGAUACGCCCACAAGAUACCUGUGUAUGUGUAUGUGUGUGCGUUCAGGCUAAUGAAAACCGUUUUUACAGUGGUCGAAAUUGAAAGCACGACGGGGCGGCUUCGAGGGCCUGGCGCCUCCGACUUGCUUUCCAGCAAAAAGCCUCCACAGCAGCUUAACGACAAGUGGACAAGGUCGGUAGCCAGCAGUUGCCGCUUCAAUGUUUUGCCACCGAGCGGGUGAAACUGGCCGGUGACGCACGCUUCCAGCUCGCUCGCAAAAGUUCAAGUCGCCUCUGUUCGGUCGUGGCGUACCCAGCGGCCGGCUCCAGGGUUGCAUCGUAUUGCACACCGCGACAGCGACUGAGCGUCAGCACCGGUGCAGGGAAUACCACGCGCUAAUGUCGGGCACUCUUUUUCGAGUGCCAGCGAGUGUCGGCGGGGACGCACUGCCCUGCGCAGAGCGCAAACCGCUCGUCUCAUUGCCGCUGCAGGGAGGAAAGCGGGUACGCAAACGGGGCCAGAACUAGAGCCUCUGCUCCGUGUGCUGGAAACGCGCCUCCGAUACAUACGUGGUACGCAGUCGGCUCGGGUGCACUCCCAGGUACACUACAAACACGUCACGGACUUUUACGAAUGUUGCGGCACGAAAAGACCGUCAGUGGGCAUCGUCGAUUCUGUCACGAUCGCGCCCUCCGUAGACGAGGGGUCAUUUCGCAGCUUCGACCGAGACCUCGUUGGCAACGACGCACUUGGAUUGGAGAUAUCCCUUGCCGGCCGCGGCUCCGUACACAUCCUCCUCCCGAAACCGAAUCGCAUGCCACUGCUUGGGAUCUUUGUGUGUCCCGAAGACACGAUCCCAGAAUGUAAAGUACUGUCCAUAGUUGGAACGAAACGUUGUAUGGUGGAUGCGAUGAUGGGCAGCGCCAUUCACCCCGGGGAUGCUGAGACUCACCCGAUCGUGAAUAUUGAUCGUCCAGAGCCCGACCACAGCGAGGGAUAUCAGAUGUAGGAGACUGUGAAACGGGAAAAUCAACACGAAUAACUGAUACGGAAAGCCCUGGGCGAAACCGUCGAGGGGAUGGAAUGCAAACGCCGAGAACGGCGUCGUAUCAAUGAAUGAAUGAUGCGGUUUGUGGAGGAAUCGAUACACGCGGCGGUGGUGCAGGCCCCGGUGAAUAAAAUAGAUCAAGGUAUCGCUAAACACCAAGAAUAGCACGGGGGAGAGAAUAAAGUACAAGAUCCCGUGCUUCCUUGGAUCGUCAUAGACGCGGGUAUACCCCAGCUGCACCAGAAGCUCUAUUGGUGUUGUGAGAAGCGACAUCACAGCGAGUGACCAGGUCGACAUGCGCACCUCUCUCCAGAUUUCUCGCCAGUUUGCACGGUAUUUCGUGCCUACGGUAGCCUUACGAAACGCCACGAACACCAAAAAGUAGUCAAUACUCGCAAAUAGGUAAUAAAGUACAAGAG